CCUACGGGGGGCAGCAGUGAGGAAUAUUGGUCAAUGGGCGAGAGCCUGAACCAGCCAAGUCGCGUGAGGGAGUACUGACCUAUGGGUUGUAAACCUCUUUUGUCGGGGAGCAAAAGCCGGACGUGUCCGGCUGUGAGAGUACCCGAAGAAAAAGCAUCGGCUAACUCCGUGCCAGCAGCCGCGGUAAUACGGAGGAUGCGAGCGUUAUCCGGAUUUAUGGGGUUUAAAGGGUGCGCAGGCGGAUUGUUAAGCCAGCGGUCAAAUCGUGGGGCUCAACCCCAUCCAGCCGUUGAAACUGGGGAUCUAGAGUGUGCGAGAGGUAUGCGGAAUGCGUGGUGUAGCGGUGAAAUGCAUAGAUAUUACGCAGAACCCCGAUUGCGAAGGCAGCAUACUGGUGCACAACUGACGCUCAGGCACGAAAGCGUGGGUAUCGAACAGGAUUAGAUACCCCUGUAGUC
rnacentral:rRNA from 1 species